rnacentral:rRNA from 1 species
UGCAUAUCAAAAAGCGGAGGAAAAGAAACCAACAGGGAUUGCCUCAGUAACGGCGAGUGAAGCGGCAAAAGCUCAAAUUUGAAAUCUAGCACCUUCGGUGUUCGAGUUGUAAUUUGAAGAUGGUAACCUUGGGUUUGGCUCUUGUCUAUGUUCCUUGGAACAGGACGUCAUAGAGGGUGAGAAUCCCGUCUGAUGAGAUGCCCAUUCCUAUGUAAGGUGCUAUCGAAGAGUCGAGUUGUUUGGGAAUGCAGCUCUAAGUGGGUGGUAAAUUCCAUCUAAAGCUAAAUAUUGGCGAGAGACCGAUAGCGAACAAGUACAGUGAUGGAAAGAUGAAAAGAACUUUGAAAAGAGAGUGAAAAAGUACGUGAAAUUGUUGAAAGGGAAGGGCAUUAGAUCAGACUUGGUGUUUUACGAUUAUCUUCUCUUCUUGAGUUGUGCACUCGUAUUUCACUGGGCCAGCAUCGAUUCGGAUGGCAAGAUAAUGGCAGUUGAAUGUGGCUUCACUUCGGUGGAGUGUUAUAGCUUCUGCUGAUAUUGCCUGUCUGGAUCGAGGGCUGCGUCUUUUGACUAGGAUGCUGGCGUAAUGAUCUAAUGCCGCCCGUCUUGAACCACGGACCC